UUUUAAUGAUCUACACAAUGUAUUCAAUUUUAGCUCGUUUAAUUAGUAACUAUUGAUUCAUAAUUAUAGAAUAAAAUAAUUUAUUUUAAUAUUAGACUCUUGCCUCAGUUUACUAUAUAUUAAAAGUCUUCAUCGAUUUCUCUUAUUUAUUUGAAGAUGCAUUAUCUUGACAAUUUCUUAUUGUAAAUUAGAAUUUCCUUUUCAUGCAUUUUAUUAAUUAUCAAAUUAUAUUUUAAUUUGAAGGCAGAAGGUUCAAUUGGCCUAUUCCAGACAUCACUGAUAUGUAUCAAUAAAGUAAAAUCUAAUUGACAUGGUCCUGCGUCGCUUCGCGUUCACGGAGCCCCACGACCUGUGCCACCUUUAUCAGCUGUCGCCCUACUACGUGUAUAUGGUAGUUGGACUGUCUAACGCUGUGUGCCAUACAUCACUGUACAAAGUCCAGCAAACGCCGCACGUCUAACAGAGACCAACCGCAAAUAUAAGUUAAAGUCACUGCUAUAAUACUUUACUGUCCACAUCUUCGGUUAGUUUUUUUUUUACACGGUGCAAUCGAUACGUCUGAAAAAGUACGCCAACUAAUGUGAUCGUUCAGCUAACGCGAAUCUUUUCUUUUGUUGGUUAUUUAUAUUCUGUAUUUUUUUGCGAAACUAAUACUUUAUUCAAAUAACAAACGAUUCUACAAUAGUUACUGAUUUACUGUUCUUUUGUCUUUGUGCUACAAUUUCGAUCAUCACCAUAUCGACUGGCUCCCCGGCGGCGAUCGAAAUCCGUUGUCCUGCUUGACAGGAAGACCAGGGUAAUAUACUUACCAGUAUACUACUGAGGAUUAAUAAUAAAAUAUAUUUUAUUUUCAAGCAUUAUAAAAAAUUCUUCAUAUAAGAGAUGACCUUUGAUUCAUUAAGUCAAUUAUCAGCAAUUCAAUUUUGAAAAAUAGAACGUGAUUGUUCUAUUACUACAUAUUUUUUUAUGAAAACUUUUAAUAUAAACCAGUAGAAUUGUCCCGAAUUUAAAUAAAUGUGUAUUACAAACAUUUUUUUGUCUUCAAUGCAAAAAUAAGAAUGUGUUGCUUUUACCAUGAUGUGUUUAUGUAUUUUUUAUGUCUGUCAAUACUUUUUCUCAGGUCUCACUGGACCAUUUUUUUAACGAUACGUUAAAAGAUUAUAAAUUGUAUUUAAUUGAAGACAUUAGUUUUAACCAUUGAAAAUAAAUUCUCAUGUUCCCUGUAAAUGGGUGAAAUUUCGCAAAAAAAUACGAUUUUUAAAAUGGAUUAAUUUAGACAUUUUUUAAACUUUUUUUUUCCCUUAAAACUGCCAUAACAAAAAAAAUUAUUUUUAUAAAGACUAAGUAUUUCAUUUUUAUCAGUUACAUUUUUUGUAAAUCUAACCCUACCUACAGCAGGAGAUUCAAAAUAGCAACUUUUACAUGAAAAAUUAACCAUUUCAAUUUAACUUUUUUAAAAACGUUCUACAUAUACGUAUGUAAAAUUAAAAACUUAUGUUACAUACUGUAAGUUUAAAGUAUACUUAAAUUGUAAUUUAAUCGCGUGAUCGAACAUAGACACCCAGUUCACAACAAACUAAUUUUUUUCUUUUUUUGAUAAAUCCAAACUUCAAUUUUUGAUAAACGUUUGCCAUAGAGGUAACGAAAUAUAUGACUACUUUAUAAAUUUUUAUAAUUUCUCCGUAAAAAUUACAAUACUAAAAUAUUGAAUAUCAAUUUCAUUCCAAGUUUAAUUUCUUUAAUAUGUAUUUAUUUCUGUAUUAUACUUUAAAGUAAUAAAACUUGUAAUCAAAUUAUGAUUAAGAAAAUAAGAGUUGAUGUUGUCAACACAUCACAAGAAGAAAUCGUAAAAUUUUGGAGUAAAACCCAACGAUUACUUUUUGUGAUUGAACACUACAGUUUUGCACCGAAGCGUUUUUAAUGAUAGUGUUUUUAGUCACUGUCCGAUAUCGUCUAUAUUUGUUCUAAUUAUACUGUGUCCUCAUUGUGUUGGAUUGCUUUGUUAUAUAAAAACUACUAUGUCAUUUAGCACUUCAAAGAAUAACUGCCCUCGUUGAUAAUUAAGUUUAUAAUACGAAUUUUGUAAAUUAUAAAAUUAUUUAAAUUAUGUUCAAA